CUCAGAGCCUGGAAAGAUGGGGUGUGAUUAGCUCAGUUUGCCUUCUUGCUGCUUCUGGAACAAAAAUCAGUCUGCCUAGGACAACUUCUCCAUGGUGGUGUGCCCCUAGAGACAGGCAGACAGCAUUCAAACUGAUAUGGAUGGGUCUUAAAGUUCUGUCCAAGACGGCAUUGACUGAAGGCCAAGGCAGACACUUCAGGGAGUUGCAGAAUAAGAGAUCAAGCUGAAGAUGCCCUGGAGAAUGUAAUUACAAGGUCUUCAGGCAGGGACCUAAGCCCUGCUUGCUCCUCUUCCUUAUUAUUAUUGGUGUGUGUGUGUGUGUGUGUGUGUGCGCGCGCGCGGGCGCACA
rnacentral:lncRNA from 1 species